rnacentral:rRNA from 1 species
GUGGGGAAUCUUGCGCAAUGGGCGAAAGCCUGACGCAGCCAUGCCGCGUGAAUGAUGAAGGUCUUAGGAUUGUAAAAUUCUUUCACCGGGGACGAUAAUGACGGUACCCGGAGAAGAAGCUCCGGCUAACUUCGUGCCAGCAGCAGCGGUAAUACGAAGGGGGCUAGCGUUGCUCGGAAUUACUGGGCGUAAAGGGCGCGUAGGCGGACAGCUUAGUCAGAGGUGAAAGCCCAGGGCUCAACCUUGGAAUUGCCUUUGAUACUGGCUGUCUUGAGUGUGGGAGAGGUGAGUGGAACUCCGAGUGUAGAGGUGACAUUCGUAGAUAUUCGGAAGAACACCAGUGGCGAAGGCGACUCACUGGCCCAAUACUGACGCUGAGGCGCGAAAGCGUGGGGAGCAAACAGGAUUAGAUACCCCGGUAGUCC